GUUAACAGUAUGUAGUACAUAGUAUGUGUUGACAGUAUGUAGUACAUAGUAUGUGUUGAUAGUAUGUAGUAAAAUCAUAUGAAUUAAGAUGCAGCCCCUGUUAUGAACCCUAAACUUAACCCUUACCCUAUCCCAAAUGUAUCGCCAACAUAAUCCUAACCCUUAGCAUAGCUGUGUCUAUUUCAGGAAAACCCUUGAUAUCAUGAUUAAAUAGAGCCUUUUACUGAUGUUAUGUCUUGGACAUGGUUUGUGCGGCAGUUCUAUGAAACACUCGCUGGCCGUGUUUUCAGUGUGAAUUAGGAAAUCCAGUGGUUAUUGCAUGUUGCGGUGUGAAAAAAACACAGUGAUACCCUGCGACAACGCAGUGAAUUAAACAACAUGGCUCACCAGCUGAAGCCCCAGCAUGAAUAAGGAAGAACAGUGUGCGUGUUUGCCUGUAUCGUGUGUGUAUUUGAGUGUGUGUGUUGUGUGUGUGGUGGAUUCAUAAAUGUUCUCAUGUACAGAUGGGGGAUGAGGUGGUUUUCCUCGUAACGUGAAAAACUCUCAGUACAUUUUGCAGAAAUCCACUGUACAAAUUCAACUCAUGAUUGGAUCAUUCUCCUUUUGUACUUUAGCCAGUAAUGUGCCCUAAUUUAUCCUGAAUGUUGCUCUGAAUAAGAAUGUCCGUCAAAUUAUUGAUAUUUAAAGUAAACUAUAUGUGCCAUGUUUCCUUUGAGCUUGGAAGUGUGUUCUCAUUCUGUGUUCUUGUGUGUGUGUGUGCGCGUGUGAGUGUGUGUGUUCGUGUGUUUAUUUCAUCAGGGAGGUCUUCAUUUGCCUCUGCAGUAUUUCACACCAAACCGCGGGGCCUGUCGUAGAACAGUGUGUUACAUAAAGACUUAUAAUGAGAGAUGGCACCUUGAGGGGUUUGAAGGCAAACUGAAUUCCCUGCCGGCGGAAAGGCAUCUCACCUCCAAGUAUGCAGCCGCUCUGCCAAGACAAAGCUGGAUUAAUCGGCCCAGGCUGUUCAAAUCCCCUGCCGACGCCUCCGGUCCACUGGAGCCUCUUUCCACAGCAGAGCACUUCAUCAGGAGUGACACCGGGUCCGACAGAGCACCGGCAGGACAGCUUCCAAAAUGGAACCCGGUCCAGUCUGUGGUGCUGACUAGAGCACGUCGGCAUAUUCAGAGGUCUGCUGAAAUGAAAAAAACGAAGUGUAGUCUGUAGGGAAUAGUUUGCUGUUUGGAACACAUCCUAAGAGUGAGGUGUUUCUCUGCGACUUGAGACAACCCCCCCACAAGUAACGAGACCAAUCAAAUCAAAGGAAUAGUGUGCCUCUACCAAUCAGACCAAAGGAGUAGUAUGCCUCUAAUGGAUGGAGAAGGGAGGAAAAGAUAGAGAGACCCAGGCAGGAUAAAAGAGGGAUGAAAGCAGGAGAAGGUUUGGAUGAAAGAUAGGGAGUCUGUAGCUAGCACAGUGAAACCAGGCUUGAGGUGGUAGUCAAGCACUACAUCUUCCUGGAUUGUUAUUGCUUUCAUAUUUUUUACUUAAGCUCAAUGAAGCAAGAUAACCAAGAUCAGAUUCCUCCUACCUUUUCUUUUUUGCAGAUGUUUGUUAGGGAGAGAGAGAAGAAGAGAGUGAAGGGGAGAAAGAAGGAGAGAAGGAGCGAGAGGGACAGAAUAGUAUAGGUUUGGAAGUGGUUGUUCCCACGCUUGAAUUCAAUCUCCCUCUCUUGCCUCAGCAUGCUUGUGUUCUGGCAUUCUCUCUUCUCAUCUAUCUUCUCUCUACUCUUUCUCUCUCUUUCCAUUCCUCUAUUUUCUUCUCUCUCCUUUCUCCUCUCCCCUCUUUCAUUUACUCCAUUCCUCUGUUUCACGUUUCAAAUUGCUCUGCUCUGCCAAGAAACACUUUGCUUUCAUGUCGUCUGACACAAGAGACAGUGAAGAUUCAUGCUGGAUUCUCUGUAUCCCUCUCCAGUUGAUUGUGUUUAAAUGUGCGGUGUGCUGUGGAGGCAUUGACAGGAUGGGUGAAUCGUCCUCAUGGACCAGAGGCUGUCUUAUAAUAAAAAAACUAGGAACAGACCCAGCCAAACAGCCCUGCAGACUUCAGGUCCAAUGAAGACAGGUCCUAUGAAGAUAGAUCCAAUGAAGACGGGUCCUAUGAAGACAGAUUCAAAGAAGACAGGUGCAAUGAAGACAGAUCCAAAGAAGACAGGUCCAACGAAGACAGGUCCAAUAAAGACAGGUCCAAUGAAGACCAAUCUAAUGAAGACAGGUCCAAUGAAGACAGAUCCAAUAAAAACAGGUCCUAUGAAGACAUGGUCCUAUGAAGACAGGUCCAAUGAAGACAGGUCCAAUGAGGACAGAUCCCAUGAAGACAGGUCCAAUGAAGACAGAUCCAAUGAAGACAGAUCCAAUGAAGACAGGUCCAAUAAAGACAGGUCCAAUGAAGACAAGUCCUAUGAAGACAGGUGCCACAAUGAUGUUUCAGUUUGUUGCCUCCCUGUUGUCUUGGAUGACUAACUGCAGUCGCUCCAUGUCUGUUCUCAUUGUGGCCAUGUUGUUUAUUUUCCCUCAGUAUCUAUCUUUCCUUCAUUCCUCAUCCUACACAAUCCUGCAGGAUUGUUAAAGAUAAUCAAGGUUUUCAUCCUCUAUAUUAUCUAUCUAGCAUAUCAAGAGCAACAGGUGUUUCCUGGUCUCACCUGUACUAGGUGCCAACCUGACAUGAGGCUCAGCAAGCACCAGAAGACAAUGCUCCUUUGUCCGGGCCAGACAUGUGUAGGAGGCUUCAAGCCAGCCAAGUGUGGAGCACAACGUGCCUAUUGUGCUCCAACCAAAGUGUGAGACAGGCUCUGUAGUCCACUGGAGUGUGAGACGGGCUCUAGAGUCCACUGGAGUGUGAGACGGGCUCUGUAGUCCACUGGAGUGUGAGACGGGCUCUGUAGUCCACUGGAGUGUUAGACGGCUCUAUAGUCCACUGGAGUGUGAGACGGGCUCUGUAGUCCACUGGAGUGUGAGACGGGCUCUGUAGUCCACUGGAGUGUGAGACAGCUCUGUAGUCCACUGGAGUGUGAGACGGGCUCUAUAGUCCACUGGAGUGUGAGACGGGCUCUGUAGUCCACUGGAGUGUGAGACGGGCUCUGUAGUCCACCGGAAUGUGAGACAGCUCUGUAGUCCCUUCCACUGGAAUGUGAGACAGCUCCAUAGUCGAAACCACCGUAAUGUGAGACAGCUCCGUAGUCCAUUCCACUGGAGUGUGAGACAGCUCCGUAGUGGAUUCCACUGGAGUGUGAGACAGCUCUGUAGUCGAUUGCAAUGAAGUGGGAGAAAGCUCCGUUGUCGAUUCCACUGGAGUGUGAGACGAGCCUCAGGAAGUGUAACCUGAAUCAUUUGCGAUAUUCUGACCGUACUUCACAUGGUGCAGAAGAGCACCAACUAUCCAACUAAGUAAUGUAAUAUCCGUGUAAUUUCCAUGGUUUGGAUCGGGUUGUGUGUUUGUAGAGGUGAUUAGAUUUAUGCGAUGGUUCUGUGUCAGCAAUGGCGCCCUAUUCCGUAUGGACUAUGGUUGAAAAUAGCGCACUUCCUAGGGAAAAGAGCAAAACAUUUUGAAACACCAAUGGAUUGCAUUUUCACCUCUCUGUUUCUGUUCACAUAGAUAGAAUACAUGUGGAGAUGGUUGACAAUUCCAAUGACUGGAAAACUUCCUGGACCAAACUGGUGUCUUCCUGUGUCUUUAACAAUGUCUGCAUGUAUCUCAUUGCCAGGAUGUAUUUUAACGAAUGGAUUCAUUCCUUGGAAUUCCCCAUGGAAAUACAUGUUUAUUCAUGUACUGUAUAUCACAAUAGCUUAAGGGUAUCAAUACCAAUUUGUUUGUUGGAAUUUAAGGAACUGUGAUUAGCAUUAAAACGCAUCUCAAGCAGAAUUCAGUAUUUUCUGUAAAUCAUUCAUAUAUGACAACAGGAUACUUCAGUCUCCUGUUUAUGUGCCAUUAUCAUCAAUCUCUUGAACGCAUAUUUGUCCUCAAUCAAUAAAUAAACACACAUCUAUUUCA